GCUAUACAUGCAAGUCGAGCGAACUGAUUAGAAGCUUGCUUCUAUGACGUUAGCGGCGGACGGGUGAGUAACACGUGGGCAACCUGCCUGUAAGACUGGGAUAACUCCGGGAAACCGGAGCUAAUACCGGAUAACAUUUUUUCUUGCAUAAGAGAAAAUUGAAAGAUGGUUUCGGCUAUCACUUACAGAUGGGCCCGCGGUGCAUUAGCUAGUUGGUGAGGUAACGGCUCACCAAGGCAACGAUGCAUAGCCGACCUGAGAGGGUGAUCGGCCACACUGGGACUGAGACACGGCCCAGACUCCUACGGGAGGCAGCAGUAGGGAAUCUUCCGCAAUGGACGAAAGUCUGACGGAGCAACGCCGCGUGAGUGAUGAAGGCUUUCGGGUCGUAAAACUCUGUUGUUAGGGAAGAACAAGUACAAGAGUAACUGCUUGUACCUUGACGGUACCUAACCAGAAAGCCACGGCUAACUACGUGCCAGCAGCCGCGGUAAUACGUAGGUGGCAAGCGUUAUCCGGAAUUAUUGGGCGUAAAGCGCGCGCAGGCGGUUUCUUAAGUCUGAUGUGAAAGCCCACGGCUCAACCGUGGAGGGUCAUUGGAAACUGGGGAACUUGAGUGCAGAAGAGAAAAGCGGAAUUCCACGUGUAGCGGUGAAAUGCGUAGAGAUGUGGAGGAACACCAGUGGCGAAGGCGGCUUU
rnacentral:rRNA from 2 species